GAAUGUGGUUUGGGCUUUGAAAAUAGCUAGAUUUCAACGGCGAUUAAAUUCAGUUUAAUAAUUCAAAAUUCACAUACACACACAUAGAUGUAUAUAGGUGUUCCAUAUCAUAUCCGUGCGAAAACAAGAAAAGAAAAAGCCUCUCUUUCCGAGAGAGACACUGCCAGUGUCCCCGAAAUUCGUCGGAGCUUCUGUAGCCGCACGAUGAGCAUCAGCCGACCGGCGGUGCACCCGAUGGAGACAGUUCCGCCGCUACAGACCUCCGGAGCGGGAGACUGACUUCCGAUGACGAUGAAGGAGCCUCAAGGCAUGCCCGGAACCAUCGGCGGCCUCUUCCUCGGCCUCUCUGUUCGUUUCCGCCGUCAUCUUCGUCGCCUUUAUGGCCACCACCUUCGACUUCCGAUCUGCCACCGCUUUCUGAUCACGUCCACCAUCCACUAUCUGCUUCUGAAACUGCUGGCAUAUCGUGAACCACUGCACGAGGUUUGAGGCUGCCAUAUCAAUGGCCUUCAUCAUCCGGUUCGCCUUGUCUCACUUCCUUCAUUCUGAACUUCUGGACUUAAGCCACCCAUUGACACAGGAACUAUAGUAUAGAAAAUAAGGGUGAAGAAAAUAAGUCCAUAGAACAAGAAUGCCUUGGGAGUGUGCCUGCAUCAUGGUACUAGAGUGUUAUCAGUAUCAAAUUCGGAGAGAUUGGAGGCUAAACGAGUGAUUUCUACGGGAGGAGAAACUUCGAGUUCCAAGGAACAAAAUCAUACUGGUGCUUGGACUAAGAUAAUUCCUAAUAGGAAUAGUUACUUUGCCAGCCUUCAAGGAUUAAAAUUUUAUAGCCUAAGUAGCCGAAUGAGAGUAUUCAUAAGGAUAGUUUAAGCUUCUGGUUUUACCAAAGAUCCAUCCUUCUUGAAGACAUAUUUAUGAUGGGAUGUUGUCGAAAUCUUGUGACGGAGAAAGGAGAAAGCGGAAAAAACGUGAAGGGGGGGUAAUGGUCCGUUUUCGGGUAUGAAGCCUUCUGGAUGGAAACGUGAUUAGUAAGUACGUCGGCGAGAUAGAGCAAUUGGAGCUAAUGACUACAUACCAAACUAAGAGGUACAUUUGCUCACAUUUUUCACCUUAGCUUUUUGUUGUUUCUUUUGUCUUUUGACCUUAGAAACAGUCUUGGAACUGAAACUUCUCCAUAGUUUUCAGGAACUGUAAUCUUUGUUGGAAGCUAUAAGAGAAGAAUUGUGGUAGAUGUAAUGAAGUGUUCAUGGUGUGGAGUCGUUCUACUAUCAUUAAGUGUAAACAUUCGAUGUGAUUUAAAGGGUAAUAACUUCAUUCAUUAGUUAUGUUUUUACAAGUUUUCUAAUCAAACAAGUAAAUAAAAAUGCAACUCA